AGCUCCAAUAGCGUAUAUUAAAGUUGUUGCAGUUAAAAAGCUCGUAGUUGGAUUUGGGACGGGGGUCGCGCGGUCGGCCGCAAGGUCUGCUACUGUGCGGCCUCGUCAUUUACACUCUCGGAGACCCGUCGUGCACUUCGCUGUGCGCGGCGCGGGACUCGGGACGUUUACUUUGAAAAAAUUAGAGUGUUCAAAGCAGGCUUCAUCAAGCCCGGAUACAUGAGCAUGGAAUAAUGGAAUAGGACCGCGGUUCUAUUUUGUUGGUUUCUACGACCGCAGUAAUGAUUAAGAGGGACAAUUGGGGGCGUCCGUAUUUCGUUGUCAGAGGUGAAAUUCUUGGAUUUACGGAAGACGAACAUCUGCGAAAGCAUUUGCCAAGGAUGUUUUCAUUGAUCAAGAA
rnacentral:rRNA from 1 species